UCAUACUCGUGUGCUUGUGCCAAAUAACAAAAUUUCGAAUGUAAUUCUUUGAGAUUUAUUUUUAAUCAACUGCUCUAAUAAUGAUGACUGUGCUAUUCAAAAUCUCAACACUCUUAGCCUAUGGUCUUUUCCCAAAGAUUGAGUGUUUGAUGAUUUGUGGAUUCAAAGGAGAGUAUAUAUAUACAUUAUUUGCUGUGGUUAGGAAUUACCAUAGUGCUUAACAGUAAUCUUAUUACAGUUUAUUUCUAGUCAUCAUGAUCUAUUGUUUUAAAAUAUUAAUUAAGCUCUGAUUUUAAUUGUAUAAUUUCAUUUUGAUUAUGUUUAUAACCUAAAUUCAAAUCUUUGUCAGAAAUUAAUCUGUUAUGUUAAUAAAUAUUUUGCUUUUUACAUAUCUAUUCGCAUGGGGGGAAAAUGGAUGCGCAUCGAUGGGCUGAUAUAAUUUUUUAUCUUUAUUUCAAAUUGGUAUAAUUGUCAAUUUUGUGAACUAUUACAUGGUAACUAUUGUAAGUUUCAUAUAAUGUCCAAAAAUUGUUACAGAUAUAGCACCCCCUUGUAAUUAACCUUUUACAAAUUUACUCUAUGGGACAUAAACUGACAAAUCAUUGGAAAAAAUUCAACUCUACUCCAUGAAAUGUAUUUGAAUUUUAAUAUCACAUGUAUAAUGUGUCUAUUUUUUAUCAUUUUAAAAAAAAAUUUGCAUCCUUAGGAUCAUUAUGAAUUUGUGUUAAUUACUUAUUGAACUACAUAUUACAUGUAUUAGAAAUAUUUAAAACUACUAUACAUCUGUAUAAUCUCCUUUGUUAGUUAUGUGAUUAUUAUUGAAUGUACUUGUCAACUGAUGAAAAAUUUAAGCUGUUACACAGGCAUAAUUAUGUAUUGUUAAAUACAGUUCCAAUUUUCAAAUACCUGUCAGUUAUUGUGUUCAUUAUUUUUUCAAUCUUGUAUUCCGUUAUAGGAGUUACUAAAUAUGCAGGCCACAAGUAGACUCCUGUAUGUAAUUUUUUUGCCUUGGCUGUUGAUGAGGCGUAUUUUCGCUAAAGACGUAUUUCCUUAUUGAGGCGUACUUUCUACAAUUGGAGGGUUUUUGUACGGGUGUAUUUUAGCUAGAGACGUAUUUCCUAGUUGAGGCGUAUUUUCUUUUUAAAGACGUACUUAUUAAUCUAGACGUACUAAUUUGCAUAAUUCAAGCUAAAUUACGCCAGUAUUUUUCAUAAGAUUUGUUGUUUUUUGUACGGGUGUAUUUUUGCUAGAGACGUAUUUCCUAGUUGAGGCGUAUUUUCUUUUUAAAGGCGUACUUAUUAAUCUAGACGUACUAAUUUGCAUAAUUCAAGCUAAAUUACGCCCGGAGUACGCCUCAGGUACGCCAGUAUUUUCCAUAGGAUUUGUUGUUAAAAAUCUAGCUGGACUUUCAGAAUUAUGGGUACGCCAGGAAAUUUUAAAAAUUACGUGAGCAAAUUUUCG